AUGUUUUCACACUCAAUAGGUUGUUGUAGGUUUUGAUAUUUGUCAACUUCAUGAUAAUUAAAAAAAACAAAGAAAAAGGAGGGGAUAAAAAUAGAAAGAAAGUUUUGCUUAUUAUUUAUUUUUUGUUAAAGGUAAACCUUUAUGUCCUUGUGUUACACAUUGUUGUUCAUUUAUGUGUAGAUGGACCAAAGCUUCCAUCUUAGAAGAUGCUAUCAAGUACAUAAAACAUCUUCAAGAACAUGUUCAAACUUUAGAGAAUGGGCAAGAAAAAAUUAGUGGAACCUACUAUACAUUCAAUAAUGAAAUGUGGACCUUCUUGGAAGAUGACAUAUUUUAUCUGAUGAGAAUUUGGACGAAAACUUCAGAAAAUGUUCCUGAGAUUGAAGCAAAAAUUCAGAGAAAAUGUUCUCUUUAGAAUCCAUUGCGAGAAAAAUGGUGACGUAGUAGCAAAAAUAUUAAGCAAAAUGCCAACGCUUCAUCUGAAUGUCGUCAGCAGUAGUGUUCUUCCAUUUGGCGUAGCUCUCGAGAUAACUAUUGUUGCUCAGGUGGAUGAAGAAUUUCACAUGACUGUCGAGGAUCUUGUGAAAACUUAGAUCAGUUGUUUUGAAUUUCCUAUGACGUUUCACUUAAUCAAAUUCGUUUUGUGCGUUCAAUAUUGUAACAUUUUUGCUUUCAAAAAGUCUAUUUUGGACAAGAGUGGCUUGUCUCUUUUAAUAAAACUAGUUGGGCGCGUGGGAGUCGCAUUGCUA